rnacentral:rRNA from 1 species
AUUGAACGCUGGCGGCAGGCCUAACACAUGCAAGUCGAACGGUAACAGGAAACAGCUUGCUGUUUCGCUGACGAGUGGCGGACGGGUGAGUAAUGUCUGGGAAACUGCCUGAUGGAGGGGGAUAACUCCUGGAAACGGUAGCUAAUACCGCAUAACGUCGCAAGACCAAAGAGGGGGACCUUCGGGCCUCUUGCCUUCGGCUGUGCCCAGAUGGGAUUAGCUAGUAGGUGGGGUAACGGCUCACCUAGGCGACGAUCCCUAGCUGGUCUGAGAGGAUGACCAGCCACACUGGAACUGAGACACGGUCCAGACUCCUACGGGAGGCAGCAGUGGGGAAUAUUGCACAAUGGGCGCAAGCCUGAUGCAGCCAUGCCGCGUGUAUGAAGAAGGCCUUCGGGUUGUAAAGUACUUUCAGCGGGGAGGAAGGGAGUAAAGUUAAUACCUUUGCUCAUUGACGUUACCCGCAGAAGAAGCACCGGCUAACUCCGUG